rnacentral:rRNA from 1 species
CCUCUAGUGUGCUGGUUGUGAUGCCAAUUGCAUUGCCAGGUAGCUAUGUUUGGAAAGGAUAACCGCUGAAAGCAUCUAAGCGGGAAGCCAACCCUAAAACAAGAUAUCUCUUCUCCCCUCGGGGAGACUUAAGACCCCUUGAAGAUUACAAGGUUGAUAGGCCAGAUGUGUAAGCACAGUAAUGUGUUCAGCUAACUGGAACUAAUAAGUCGCGAGGCUUGAUCUUAU